CAUUUGAACUCUGGAGAGGGCCCGGCCGGACCGGGACGCCGAAGGAUAACGAUCUCAGGCAAAAGGACAGAGGGGGCAUC
rnacentral:ncRNA from 2 species